UCAGCCCUAAUUUGGCAUCAUUUUUUAUUUAUUUUUUAUUUUUAAAAAUAAUAUUAUAAAAAUUGAGAUGAAAUAUAUGUUUGGUAUUAUUAUUAUUAUUUUCUAUUUUUAAAGAUUAUUUUAAAAAUAAAAUGAUUAUUUUGAUGAUAUAUGCUAUAUCAUUUUUGAGUAAAAUGAUUAUUUGAUGAUACAUGCAAAGAUUAAAUACUUGAAAGGGACUGAUAGAGCUCAUGAAGUUAUGUGUAUAGUUGUUUCGAUAUAGAGUGUUUGU
rnacentral:lncRNA from 1 species